rnacentral:ncRNA from 2 species
UUAAUACACAAAGAAUCUGGUGUCUUAUAGACGGAGUUGUCGUUUAUAGACUUAAUAGGGAAGUUGGUGAAAAUCCAACGCGGUCCCGCCACUGUAAAUGGGAGCUUCAAGCCAAUGCCACUGUACUUAGUAUGGGAAGGCGCUUGAAAGCGAUGACCAUGAGCCAGGAGACCUGCCUGAUUCUUAGCGCCACA